rnacentral:rRNA from 1 species
AUGGCGGAAGAGCUACCAGUGCCACCAGACUCGGCAUUCCGGCAAGCACGGGAGGAGCAGUGCUACAAACUCUGUAUCCUCAACGAGCUGACUGGUGGGCUCGUCUCAGAUGCUCGCUGGGUGAACUUUGUUCGUGUCCCCGAGGGAUUUUCCAAUCCCCUCCACCCGCGCGUCAAAACCCUAGCCGCCAGCCCUGCUCGUCCCGAGCCUGUGCCCACUCCCCCUCAUUCUCCUUCCUGCUCCCUCCAUCCCCCCAUGUCGCCGCCCCUCUUCUCCCCGCUCGCCCCGGCCGCCUCUCCUCCCCCCUGCGUCGUCGGCCCCUCCCUUCUCCUCCCUCCUCUAGCCUCCAGCCCUGCUCGUCCCGAGCCUGCGCCCACUCCCCGUCGUUCUCCUCCCCGCUCCCUCCAUCCUCUCCCAUGUCGCCGCAGUCUCUCCGCCUCCUCCUCCCGUCACCACGUCCUCCGCCAUGGAGCCUCGCCGCCGCGUGCGUCUCCCUUCUCCACCAUGCUGCCCUUCCACCUCGCCUUCCUCUCCUUUCCUCGAGAUGCUGCUAUCCUGCUCGUCACAUUGACUGCCGGCAAUGGGAGGAGACCUGGGGGAGCAGAGGAGGGUGCUGCGCUGGCUUCUCUCCCCGCGCCACCACGCCGCUUGUUCUUCCUCCUAAGGUCCAGAUCUGAAGCGGGAGAGACGCGCGCAAAGUGGCAGAAGAGGGCUGCAUCAGUGGUGGUCCGAGCGCUGCUGCCUCCGUCCCUGGCUCCCCGAACAAUCCUCAUCGCAUGCAGCCGCCGACUGAGCUCCGCCUCCUCAAUCUGCAUCCCUCUUCAUCGCGCAUGGCAACAGGGCGAGGGUUGUGAUGGGAACACCAGGAUGACAGCGAGAAGUGGACCUCUGAGCUGGCUGCCGGUCCUCUCAGGUGAGAUCAACUCCAUCCUCCAUAGCCUUCUCUGCACCUCCCAUCUCUCUCUCUAUGCGCGCGUGUGUGGGGCUUGUGUAGGCAGAAUACAAUGGAAUGGUCUAAGAUUUGCGAGUUUCGCCGAUGCGGCCAUGACGGUGAUGCCAAACUCCGAGGAGAUACCAAAGGUGUACUGGGAGGCGGUGCUUCCUAGAAUCCCAAUGCCUCCACCUAUUAGCAACCUGCUGUUAGCCCAACAAAACAGUACCUCUCCCCCCCUCUCCCACCUUGGUGACCUCAUUUUAGUUGUUUUGAUAAUUGGUGGUUCAGCUUUCCCUCUUUGA